AAGAGUGGUAAUAGCUCACUGUCGAGAGUCCUGCCCCGAAAUUUCCGGGGCUGAACCACAACACCGAAGCUCAGGAUGUAUUUAUACAUGGUAGAGGAGCAUUCUAAAAGGGGCGAAGCAGUACCGAUAAGGAGCUGUGACUUUUAAGAAGAGAGAAUGCGGGAAUGAGUAGCGAGAUGAGGUGGAAAUCCUCCAGGCCGAAUAUCUAAGGUUCCCAGGGUAAAGCUGAUCUGCCCUGGGUAAGUCGGGGCCUAAGGCAAGGCUGAGAAGCGUAGCUGAUGGACAACAGGUUUAGAUUCCUGUACCACAUGAUAUCAGAACUGUGGGGACGCAGAGGGAUAAGAUGACCGGGGAACAGAACUCCGGGCAAGCGUAGGAGGUGUCAGGCAGGCAAAUCCGCCUGAUAAGCCAAAGACGUGACGCGGACCGAACUCAAGUAGGGAAGCAUCCGAUUCCAGCUGCCGAGAAAAGCCGCUAUUGUGUAUCAUGUGCCCGUACCGUAAACCGACACAGGUGGAUGAGGAGAGAAUCCUAAGGCCGGCGGGAGAAGCAUUGUUAAGGAACUCGGCAAAAUGACCCCGUAACUUCGGGAUAAGGGGUGCCAGAGAGAUCUGGCCGCAGAGAAUAGGCUCAAGCAACUGUUUAGCAAAAACACAGGUCUAUGCGAAACCGUAAGGUGAUGUAUAUGGGCUGACGCCUGCCCGGUGCUGGAAGGUUAAGAGGAGAGGUUAGAGCAAUCGAAGCUUUGAAUUGAAGCCCCAGUAAACGGCGGCCGUAACUAUAACGGUCCUAAGGUAGCGAAAUUCCUUGUCGGGUAAGUUCCGACCCGCACGAAAGGCGUAAUGAUUUGGGCACUGUCUCAACAAUGCACCCGGUGAAAUUGAAGUACCAGUGAAGAUGCUGGUUACCUGCGCCAGGACGGAAAGACCCCAUGGAGCUUUACUCCAGCUUGAUACUGGGAUUCGGUAUUGCAUGUACAGGAUAGGUGGGAGGCUGAGAACUUAUGACGCCAGUCGUAAGGGAGCCGCUGUUGGGAUACCACCCUUGCAGUAUUGGGUUUCUAACCAUCAGCCGUGAUCCGGCUGGGGGACAAUGUCAGGUGGGGAGUUUGACUGGGGCGGUCGCCUCCGAAAGGGUAUCGGAGGCGCUCAAAGGUCUUCUCAGAAUGGUUGGAAACCAUUCGCAGAGUGCAAAGGCAGAAGAAGGCUUGACUGCGACACCGACGGGUGGAGCAGGUACGAAAGUAGGACUUAGUGAUCCGGUGGUAUAAAGUGGGAUUGCCAUCGCUCAACGGAUAAAAGCUACCCUGGGGAUAACAGGCUUAUCACUCCCAAGAGUUCACAUCGACGGAGUGGUUUGGCACCUCGAUGUCGGCUCAUCGCAUCCUGGGGCUGAAGUAGGUCCCAAGGGUUGGGCUGUUCGCCCAUUAAAGCGGUACGCGAGCUGGGUUCAGAACGUCGUGAGACAGUUCGGUCCCUAUCCGGCGUGGGCGUAGGAUAUUUGAGAGGAGCUGUCCUUAGUACGAGAGGACCGGGAUGGACUGGCCGCUGGUUGAUCUGUUGUUCCGCCAGGAGCAUAGCAGAGUAGCCNAGCCGGGACGGGAUAAACGCUGAAGGCAUCUAAGCGUGAAGCCCCCCUCAAGAUGAGAUAUCCCAACGAAAGUUGUAAGACCCCUUGAAGACGACAAGGUAGAAUGGACAGAGGUGGAAGUGUGGUANCACAUGGAGCUGACUGUUACUAAUAGGUCGAGGGCAUA
rnacentral:rRNA from 1 species